rnacentral:rRNA from 1 species
UAGUCCACGCCGUAAACGAUGAUAACUCGCUGUUGGCGAUACACAGUCAGCGGCUGAGCGAAAGCAUUAAGUUAUCCACCUGGGGAGUACGGUCGCAAGAUUGAAACUCAAAGGAAUUGACGGGGGCCCGCACAAGCGGAGGAACAUGUGGUUUAAUUCGAUGAUACGCGAGGAACCUUACCUGGGCUUAAAUGUAUUAGGACCGUUCUGGAAACAGGACUUCCCUUCGGGGCCUUUUACAAGGUGCUGCAUGGUUGUCGUCAGCUCGUGCCGUGAGGUGUCGGGUUAAGUCCCAUAACGAGCGCAACCCUUACCGUUAGUUGCUAACAGGUCAUGCUGAGGACUCUGGCGAGACUGCCACCGUAAGGUGAGAGGAAGGUGGGGAUGACGUCAAAUCAGCACGGCCCUUAUGUCCAGGGCUACACACGUGUUACAAUGGCCAGUACAAAGGGCAGCUACCUGGUGACAGGAUGCUAAUCUCUAAAGCUGGUCUCAGUUCGGAUCGAAGUCUG